UACGUAGGGUCCGAGCGUUGUCCGGAAUUAUUGGGCGCAAAGAGCUCGUAGGCGGUUUGUCGCGUCUGCUGUGAAAUCCCGAGGCUCAACCUCGGGUCUGCAGUGGGUACGGGCAGACUGGAGUGCGGUAGGGGAGAAUGGAAUUCCUGGUGUAGCGGUGGAAUGCGCAGAUAUCAGGAGGAACACCGAUGGCGAAGGCAGUUCUCUGGGCCGUAACUGACGCUGAGGAGCGAAAGCGUGGGGAGCGAACAGG
rnacentral:rRNA from 1 species